UGCCUAAUACUGCAAGUCGAGCGGAGAAGGGAGCUUGCUCCCGGAUGUUAGCGGCGGCGGGUGAGUAACACGUGGGUAACCUGCCUGUAAGACUGGGAUAACUCCGGGAAACCGGAGCUAAUACCGGAUAGUUCCUUGAACCGCAUGGUUCAAGGAUGAAAGACGGUUUCGGCUGUCACUUACAGAUGGACCCGCGGCGCAUUAGCUAGUUGGUGAGGUAACGGCUCACCAAGGCGACGAUGCGUAGCCGACCUGAGAGGGUGAUCGGCCACACUGGGACUGAGACACGGCCCAGACUCCUACGGGAGGCAGCAGUAGGGAAUCUUCCGCAAUGGACGAAAGUCUGACGGAGCAACGCCGCGUGAGUGAUGAAGGUUUUCGGAUCGUAAAGCUCUGUUGUUAGGGAAGAACAAGUGCAAGAGUAACUGCUUGCACCUUGACGGUACCUAACCAGAAAGCCACGGCUAACUACGUGCCAGCAGCCGCGGUAAUACGUAGGUGGCAAGCG
rnacentral:rRNA from 1 species